UAGCGUUGAUUUUUACCUACGUGAACGCAGGCGACGCUGGGCAACAGGCUGUGUGUCUUGUCGCGUUUUGUGUCUUUCUGCGGGGAAACAAAUAAUUCGUCAUGCGAUAGCACUAUCGCAACUUAUCGGUCUUUUCUCUCGCAUAGAGUUCAGUGCCGUACGCGCUUUCUUCUCCACGACUUUCUUCUAUUUCCUUACUAGGCUGUGGUAGAAAAAAUGAUUUCCAUCCAGAACCCUCAGCUCAAGGCUAUAUUUCUCGUUCACCUGCUCCUCACAGUAUGGCCACUGCAGGAAGCAUGGGCGCCCCAAGCGUAUCUCUACUACAACCUCAUUUACCUGCUGAUGUUGGCUUGGGCGAUACAUCACAAGGAUUCCGAGGAGCCUGUUUUUAUGGCGUUAGCCAUAAACCUUGGUACAAUCUUGAUGGACAUUGUCACGCUGGGAAUGCACUUCCCCCACCAGUUCACAUUUUGUGCGGGCAUUGCCAUUGUUAACCUUUUGUUUCGGCCGGUGUCAUCGGUAUUCCUGCUGCGCAUCUUCAACGAGCGGGGAGGCAGAUAUGCGGACCUGGGCAUUCCGAACUUCGCUGGCGGUGUGGGCAGCAGCGGCCGGGGUCAGUACGACGACAUCGACCAGACCACUACCCAGAGCGUACCGAAGACCGGAAUAGACACUGGUAGCCCGAGCCAUGCCUACUCCUCUGGGGGCGAUGGGCUGCCUCCUUACUCGCAGCCAUAGUCGCUCAAUCGCAGCCCCCGCACCCCUCUCCACUCAUUUUGUUGGAACGGUGCUGUCUUUAGUGGCCAGAACUAACGGGAACGUGAUUGCAUGCCCAUUCUUCAGAUUCAGCAUCGGCAUUUUUUUUUCUCUGUCUCUAUUUUUUCUUCAAUUAGUUUUUCGAAGUUAGAAUGCCAUUCGUCGAUCCUGAACCCUACAAGGAAGCCUCGUUGUCUAGUUAUGAACUCAUGAGGCCUUUGUUGUGGCAUAUUUCACUAGUCUUCUGUGAUGUAAGAUCCACUUACCUCAUUCUUUUACAUGCCAGUCACGUUAGUAUGCUGACAAGCAUUUUCCACUUGCUCACGGACAUGGUAACAAAAAUUUGUUGAGGCUUUGCAAAUCUGUGAUGUUUUUGUUCCUAUAAAUGAUGGCGUAGAUAGAUAGAGCUUGUACAUCACUUUGAUGUUUGCUCUUGAAUCCAAACUUUAUUCCACGGUUAUGAAGUAGCUUCCCAAACCAGGGCGUGCUGUGACCUAUGCCAAUUUGUGGUGGUGGCAAUGUUCCAGGAAAAAAAAGAAAAGAAAGUUUACUCGCCCUACCUCCUGUAAUGCCUGUAUGUUAGUAGAUUGCUUUUGCCAUGCUAAUUAAUGCAGCCAAUCGUGGCAUGCUUUUGUUUUUACACACGUUGGCAAAAUAUAAUAGAUUGCCUUUCAGUAUAUUUCUUUCAAUUUCUUCCUGACCAGAAAAAACAAUAGUGCAGCAUUUAAAGUAGCGUUUGUUAAUGCAGUUUAUUAUUGCACUUUUUUUUUUGUCUCAUGCAGUUAUCUUCAUGCAUAGGUCACUCAUGUCUGGCCAUUGAAGACAGCAUGCCACUGUUUCUCUCGCAAACGAGGGGUGUGCUGCAAGAAUGUGUGCUUUGAAAUUUCAUUAACUGUGCAAAGUGGUAUUGAGCAAUUAAUCAUUGUUUCUCUGCACUAAGCUACACAUUAUGACACAAGAAAUGCAGCUGCUUAGGGAGAGAUCCCAUAAUAACUUCCGUAACGGCAUUUGGAGGCUGUUGCACUCCCAGCUUUUAUAACACACUUGAUUUUUUUUUCAGAUGUGUGUGUAAAUGAAACAUCCCUCUUUAUUUCCAAAGGCACCAGUUCUGACCCCUGGAAUCCAGCGUAAUAAUGGCUUAUCGCAAAUGUGCCCAUCUUUCUCACCUUAGGGUCCUCAUUUCAUUUGUCACUGCUUGUGUGGAAGGAAAAAAAUAUUUACAAUAGCUUCACGUUUUCAUCUUUUCUGCAGCUGACUGUUCUUUAUACAUGCUGUAUUUUUUUUUGGAUAUGCUUUCUUUUUCUAGUCAUUGUUGGGAAUGCCACUGUUUACUUGUUGCACAGGCUGCCUUUAACCCUUGCAGCCAUUGCAAAGCUGUAAUUUUUUUUAUUUUUUUGCAUGUCUGCUUGAGAUGUUUCAGAAAUAGGGGACUCAGAGUCACGGCACGCUGUCAGGCUUAGGCCGGCAAACUCACUCAUGAGUCGACUCAAUCAGGCUCACUUAGAGUCGGGUAAAGCCAUGAGUCUGAGUGAGUCUGGGUGAGUAAUAUGUUGGUGAGAUUGAUUCCGAAUGAGCCCGGUUGAGGAAAAUUUUAUUGAGUCUGAGUUCGAAUGAGUCCGGCUGAGGAAAGUUUUGGUGAGUCCAAGUCCGAGUGAGCCCUCAGAGCAAAAUAUAUUUUUUGAGUGAGUCUGCGUGAGCUCAACCUUUUAUUGCCAACCUAUGCUGUCAGGUGCUGCAUAAACAGUGUGUUUUGUUUCUUCUCCUAGGAGGCAUACGGCAUGUGAGAACAGAACGUCAUGAUGUUUUGGCGCUAGCUUAUCAGUGAAGCGUGAGCCGACACUUUCCAUCUUGUCUGAUUUGUGCCAAGCCAACAGCGCAGGAUAUGUACUGAUUAGGCAAGGACAUAGGUGCAGCACGAUUGGCAAGAUAAAGGAGCAGCGGUGCUGCUAUCAGUGCACUGUUGGUGGCAGCUUUCCAUUGGCUAGAGGACGCAACUUCAAGACUGGCGCUUCGCAAGAAAUCAAAAUUCAGUGACAAACGAGCAAGUGUAAAUCAGCAUCAGUGAAUAAUUUCUAGCGAGGCACUAGAGCACACAAAACACAUCUCAGUGUUGAAGCAAAUGCCGAAGGUAACGGCAUUCUCUACCCAUUUGAUCACCUUUUCAUUCACAGCCCAUCCCGCUUUUGAGGAAUGUAACUGAAACUGGUUUGUUCACAAGAUGUUGUAGUAAAUCGCUUAGGGCACUCUGAUACUUGCCAGUACUUUUGGUUUUGAAGUCAACGAUUCUUGUUUAACUCGAGAAACUUGAAGACUUCAUAUCGGCUUUUCUUUUAAAAAGGAGCGGGGACUGGUUUUGCUGUGUGCAGCCUCGAUGCUUUGCGAUUCCAAAGCCUUUUCGGUGCAGCUAUGUGUGCUUUGCUGUCGUAGUACCCGUGAAGGAUUGUUGAAUGGUUCCUUAUUUUAUACUUACCGUUUUUCUAGUUUUAGUGUCCUCCACGGAGAGCUUUUCAUUAAUGAUUAUUUUCUCGCAUGAAUGAACGUUGUUGCCGAAUUACUGAGUGCCCAUUGUAUACCGAGCACUCUCGUCGUUUAGUGCUAGUACUCGUACACCAUUCCUACUGUAUUCCGGUUCACGAUACUUGUGAAACUUGCUUGAAACCGAGGUACUUAUUUUUUAUGUGUUCGUGUUUGCACGCAUUCCCGAGAUUCUUUUAAGCACUUAUUCGAUGUAGCUGCUUCACAGGGACUUUUCACAUGUGACUGAAGCAGAGAACAUUUUAUUUUUUUGCUUUAUCGGUUUGGUUGUUCAAACCAGCGACACAACGUGCGGUUGAAAGUUGUUUUAAGUGUGUUGCGAUUGUUUGCUUCAAGGUACUGCACCAAAUACCUGAAAUGAAAUUAGUUCCCCAACUUUUGGGGAUGUAUCUACAUCUGUGAGCUGUGCUCCAGGCUAGUGUAAUUGUAACAGUUAUCUGUACAAUAACCUUGUAAUUUUGUUCAGCACGUUUGUCUUGUACAGUCACUUUGAAACAGGUAUCCAGGGAAAUGUUGCAAUUUUUUUGUAAUUUCAAUUUUUUUUCUCUCGGCACUUACACUCUUUAAACUGCUCACAUUGUGAUGUGACCAUUCCUUAUUUUCUCUUCCCCUAUUAUGAACAUCCUUUCUUUUUUAAGAGGCUCUGUCAUUCUUGCUGAGCACUACUACUUUUUUGUUGGCGGUUUAAUCAACAUAAUAUAAACACGCUGCACAAGUUCGAUUGUUAUUUGCCCGUGCAUAUUUCAUGUGUGAGAACAGGCUUAUUGGAAUCUAAAAUUUCCAGGUACUAUGUAUGCAUGUUCAUCAAAUGGCUCCAAGAAGUAGUGCUUGACUAAUUCGUUUUCGCUGUGAGCAGUUAUCCAAGUCUGUGGACGUUAUUUUGAGUGUUGCUGUAAAAAAAAAUUCACUUCCUGAACUGUUUCGUAAUGUAAUACCUAAUGUAUCUUAUAUGCUACACAGAGGUUGAAACCCAAAGACGCUGAGCAUGUGAAAGUUAGCAGGAAGCCCUUUGUUGUGUUUUUGUUGUACUGGAGUGAAGUUUCAUCGGUGUACAUUUCAAGAAACCAACAAAUGAAUUAAUUACCAUUCACUGAUUACAUUUUACUUCUAAUGACAUUUAAUUGUUUUGUACAAUGUGUACUCUCCAUGGGUGGAAAAUAAAGACAAAAAGUUUGUUCAAGUUUUCAUCAAAGCAGAACUAUGCUUACAGGGUUAAAUUUUUUUACUGUGAUCUGUUCAGAAGCAUGAGUAAUAUUUUUGGUACUGCUUACAUUUGCAACAUUAUGGAACAGUCAUGUUCUACUUCUCAGGUUCUGCAUGUGCAUGUUUUUCUAGACAUCCAUAUUGUUCUAUAAAGGGGCAUAUUAAACUCCAGCUAUCACAUUAUCCUUGUUGGUGAUGCAGUUUACAUGCUGAGAUUCUAUACACCAACCAACCAGAAAAUAUCUUUUGGCAUCUUUCAGGAACAUUGAAGUCAAACAUCAGGGAUGAGACUACACUCCUGUCUGCUGUUUAAAAAUUGCCAUUCAAAAUACUACGUUGCUUCACUUUAACGCAGGUGAAUGAAGGAGAUCGAAAGACUCGUAAUAUCAUUUGAAGCUUCCGAGACUGUUGACACAUGUGAAGACCUCCCUGUACUCUGAAGUUUUUAGUCUUCGACAGUCUUUGGGGUCACACACACAUGUAACGGAGAUGAAAUGCCAUAAAAUGCAUUCCAGCUGGCAAAAUAGGUUUUAUUUAAAAUUUUUCAUAUCAGAUAGCAACGUAAUUCUCAUUACCAUUAUUACAUUGCUUACUAUUAACCAGGCCAACUCGGGUUUGUAAUUCCAAAAAAAGUGAUCGCACAACUCUUGGCUCACGGUUACUUUAUUUUCUCACUUGGGUAGCAGUUAACUUGGAUCCGAGUCAUUAUAUAAAGCCUUUCGGUUUCAACUUAAUCUGCCCCAGUUGACUUCAGAAUGUGUGGUUAGCUAAUGGUUCACACUUAAAAAGGCCCUGCAACGCUUUUUCAGCAUGGUCAGAAUACGCUGCCAAUCGGUAGUCGAGGUUCCUGAGAACACGCGAGCCAAACAUUAUGGUGCAGUACGCGACCUGGAAUUUACAAUUAAUUCUCAGUCAGCUAGAAAUUGUUCUCGCUUUCUACAAAUGAUGCCAUAUACCCAAAUUCAUGACCAAUUGCUGAUUUGAGCAUCGUGAGCUGCAUAGUUACCAUGACCGCCACAGGAGGCCGCCACGUGUCGCACACGCACGCGAUCACACUGAAAGUAAGCUGCGCAUUCGAAGAAAUAAAAAGAGAAAAAGUUCUGAAGGUCAUGACGCGUGCAUUACGUAACUUCUUUCCCCCAUGCCAUCCCUCCCUGCUUGGCUUUCAGCGCCCUCAUCGGGAUGAGAGAAAGCAAUUACAGUGUGCGACAAAUCUCUCUAGCUCCGCUCAUACUUGAUGGAUUUUAAACAUCUUGGCGGCAGUCGAUUCACGAGGCAAUAAACUCCUUUAAUGAAGCCAAUCGAUGGUUACUUGGAAAAGUGUUGCAGGACCCUUUUAAAUGUAUAAACGAUUUUCUCGUGGGCACCGCCAUGUUGCUUAGCAGGCGGCGCUGUCUCUAAUCUGGCUACUGGCUUGCGCAUAUGCGCGAACACUAGUCUUUUCAUGGCCGUGCGCACUCUGAGCCAUUAUGCGCAGACAGGCGUGAACUUUGAAACGUUUCCAUACACCAGAAAGCAGGAAAACGCGAGUUGCCAAACAGCUCAUCCUCGCCCCCUGAAACGGUCUAUAGGACGUGACCUCCAGCAUUGUAAUAAGCUGGAGUUUAGCCAACCUUUUGAAGUUUAGCCAACCUUUUAAAGUUAUUUGUAGUCAGAAGAAUGGUUAUAUCACAAAGGCUGCAUUAGUUUUUCAAUCCGCUGCCAAGUGUUCACUGUCAGUCGCAAAAGUGCAUCAUGGCAAGCACGCAUGCAUACCACAUUUGAGCAGCUUUUAUCUCUGCUACUAAAGAGUAAAACAUCUGAAUGCAGCAGCUUGGAACAUGUUUGUCGUUCUCAUCAACCAACUUUUUUUUUCUUUUUCCACCUGGAGUGUUGUUUUGUUAUGUGGUUAUCACGUUGAGGGCAUUACACUAGACGAGCAAGUUGACUGUUUUGUGUGUCUCACUUGUCUGCAAUACACAUAUCGCGGGGGAAAUGCACAUCGUCUCACCCUGCCUACCAAUUGCGGGCAAUUUCUGCCGAAUCAACUGUUUGUCCUGGCACGUAUUUAGUUGGAAGUUUGGGAUAUGUACUCGCUUAUGUCUCACAAAAAGCUGAGAAUUGCCCAAUAAACCUUUUAUUCUCCUAUG
rnacentral:misc_RNA from 1 species